AACGAACGCUGGCGGCAGGCCUAAUACAUGCAAGUCGAACGAACCUUCGGGCUAGUGGCGCACGGGUGCGUAACGCGAGGGAAUGUACAACUUGGUAAGGAAUAACUGCUGGAAACCGUAGCUAAUGCCUUAUAAUGACUCCGGACCAAAGAUUUAUCGCAAAGGAAUCAGCCCGCGUUAGAUAAGCUAGUUGGGGAAGUAAUGGCUCACCAAGGCGACGAUCUAUAGGGGGUCUGAGAGGAUGAUCCUCCACACUGGAACCGAGACACGGACCAGACUCCUACGGGAGGCAGCAGUAAGGAAUAUUGGACAAUGGGGGCAACCCUGAUCCAGCCAUGCCGCGUGUGUGAAGAAGGCCUUAGGGUUGUAAAGCACUUUCAAACGUGAAGAUAAUGACGGUAGCGUUAGAAGAAGCUCCGGCUAAAUUCGUGCCAGCCGCCGCAGUAA
rnacentral:rRNA from 1 species